GGGCCGCCCACCUGAACGCCCCACCACCUGCCCUCUCCUGCCCGCGGCGCUCUCCCUCGGAUUCAUUACCUAGGUGCCGCAGGUAACCGUUUGCGGACUCUCCAGGACCCACCUGAGAGAUGCAGUGCGGUAGAAACUGAGGUCAAGCGCAUGGGCUUCCGAAACCCGCUUCUGGGUUCACGUCCUGCCCCUAUACUUGGUAGCUGAUAACCGGGGGGCAAUUUAUUUACCCCCUGUGAUGCUGAAAGUUUUAAUCUGCAAAAUGCAGACAGAGAGAGACAGAGCAUGAAUGGGGGAGGGUCAGAGAG